rnacentral:rRNA from 1 species
AGAGUUUGAUCCUGGCUCAGGAUGAACGCUAGCGGGAGGCUUAACACAUGCAAGUCGAGGGGUAUGAUUAGCAAUAGUCAGAGACCGGCGCACGGGUGAGUAACGCGUAUGCAACCUGCCCUUUACAGGGGGAUAGCCCGUCGAAAGGCGGAUUAAUACCCCAUAAUAUUGUACUACUGCAUGGUAGAACGAUAAAAGUUUCGGCGGUAAAGGAUGGGCAUGCGUGACAUUAGCUGGUUGGUAGGGUAACGGCCUACCAAGGCUACGAUGUCUAGGGGUUCUGAGAGGAAGGUCCCCCACAGGAGGUACUGAGACACGGACCAGACUCCUACGGGAGGCAGCAGUGAGGAAUAUUGGUCA